CUAGUAUGAUGAUGUCUGAGAAUGGUUUCGCUUUAUGGGCUGAAAUAUGGUGAUGCCACGAUUCUCUUGGCUAUCUGAUUAA